GCGAUACAGGGUGACAGCCCCGUACACAAAAAUGCACAUACUGUGAGCUCGAUGAGUAGGGCGGGACACGUGGUAUCCUGUCUGAAUAUGGGGGGACCAUCCUCCAAGGCUAAAUACUCCUGACUGACCGAUAGUGAACCAGUACCGUGAGGGAAAGGCGAAAAGAACCCCGGCGAGGGGAGUGAAAAAGAACCUGAAACCGUGUACGUACAAGCAGUGGGAGCCUCUUAAUGGGGUGACUGCGUACCUUUUGUAUAAUGGGUCAGCGACUUAUAUUCUGUAGCAAGGUUAACCGAAUAGGGGAGCCGAAGGGAAACCGAGUCUUAACUGGGCGUUAAGUUGCAGGGUAUAGACCCGAAACCCGGUGAUCUAGCCAUGGGCAGGUUGAAGGUUGGGUAACACUAACUGGAGGACCGAACCGACUAAUGUUGAAAAAUUAGCGGAUGACUUGUGGCUGGGGGUGAAAGGCCAAUCAAACCGGGAGAUAGCUGGUUCUCCCCGAAAGCUAUUUAGGUAGCGCCUCGUGAAUUCAUCUCCGGGGGUAGAGCACUGUUUCGGCAAGGGGGUCAUCCCGACUUACCAACCCGAUGCAAACUGCGAAUACCGGAGAAUGUUAUCACGGGAGACACACGGCGGGUGCUAACGUCCGUCGUGAAGAGGGAAACAACCCAGACCGCCAGCUAAGGUCCCAAAGUCAUGGUUAAGUGGGAAACGAUGUGGGAAGGCCCAGACAGCCAGGAUGUUGGCUUAGAAGCAGCCAUCAUUUAAAGAAAGCGUAAUAGCUCACUGGUCGAGUCGGCCUGCGCGGAAGAUGUAACGGGGCUAAACCAUGCACCGAAGCUGCGGCAGCGACACUAUGUGUUGUUGGGUAGGGGAGCG
rnacentral:rRNA from 1 species